AGAGUUUGAUCAUGGCUCAGGACGAACGCUGGCGGCGUGCUUAACACAUGCAAGUCGAACGGUGAUCUCGAGAGCUUGCUCUUGGGUGAGCAGUGGCGAACGGGUGAGUAACACGUGAGUAACCUGCCCCUGACUCUGGAAUAAGCGCUGGAAACGGCGUCUAAUACCGGAUACGAGACGCAACCGCAUGGUUAGUGUCUGGAAAGUUUUUCGGUCUGGGAUGGACUCGCGGCCUAUCAGCUUGUUGGUGAGGUAACGGCUCACCAAGGCAAUGACGGGUAGCCGGCCUGAGAGGGCGAUCGGCCACACUGGGACUGAGACACGGCCCAGACUCCUACGGGAGGCAGCAGUGGGGAAUAUUGCACAAUGGGCGAAAGCCUGAUGCAGCGACGCCGCGUGAGGGAUGACGGCCUUCGGGUUGUAAACCUCUUUCAGCAGGGAAGAAGCGAAAGUGACGGUACCUGCAGAAGAAGCACCGGCUAACUACGUGCCAGCAGCCGCGGUAAUACGUAGGGUGCGAGCGUUGUCCGGAAUUAUUGGGCGUAAAGAGCUUGUAGGCGGUUUGUCGCGUCUGCUGUGAAAAUCCGGGGCUCAACCCCGGACUUGCAGUGGGUACGGGCAGACUAGAGUGUGGUAGGGGGAGACUGGGAUUUCCUGGGGUAGCGGUGAAAUGCGCAGAUAUCAGGAGGAACACCGAUGGCGAAAGCAGGUCUCUGGGCAUUACUGACGCUGAGAAGCGAAAGCAUGGGGAGCGAACAGGAUUAGAUACCCUGGUAGUCCAUGCCGUAAACGUUGGGUAACUAGGUGUGGGUCCUCAUCCACGAGGUCCGUGCCGCAGCUAACGCAUUAAGUUCCCCGCCUGGGGAAGUACGGCCGCAGGCUAAACUCAAAUGAAUUGACGG
rnacentral:rRNA from 1 species